AGGUAUAGCUCAAGUGGUAGAGUGCAUGCUUAGCAUGCACAAAAUCCUGGGUUCAAUCCCCAGUACUU
rnacentral:tRNA from 1 species